CGGCAUGCUUUACACAUGCAAGUCGAACGGUAACAGGCCGCAAGGUGCUGACGAGUGGCGAACGGGUGAGUAAUGCAUCGGAACGUGCCCGGUCGUGGGGGAUAACGCAGCGAAAGCUGCGCUAAUACCGCAUACGAUCUGAGGAUGAAAGCGGGGGACCGUAAGGCCUCGCGCGAUCGGAGCGGCCGAUGUCAGAUUAGGUAGUUGGUGGGGUAAAGGCUCACCAAGCCGACGAUCUGUAGCGGGUCUGAGAGGAUGAUCCGCCACACUGGGACUGAGACACGGCCCAGACUCCUACGGGAGGCAGCAGUGGAGAAUUUUGGACAAUGGGGGAAACCCUGAUCCAGCCAUGCCGCGUGAGUGAAGAAGGCCUUCGGGUUGUAAAGCUCUUUCGGCUGGGAAGAAAUCGCACAGGCUAAUACUCUGUGUGGAUGACGGUACCAGCACAAGAAGCACCGGCUAACUACGUG
rnacentral:rRNA from 1 species